rnacentral:lncRNA from 10 species
GGAAGGCCUAGCUCAGCUCACCUCUGGAAAGGUCUCCAAGCUGUGUGAUCUGGGGAAUCGUGGAGGGGUUUUGAGCUCAGGUGUCUUCUGCCAGCUGGACUCUGAGACCCUGGCCUGCUGGGGCGAGGAUGAGGCUCUGAUGUGGUCUGGUCAACUCUGGGUUGGCCAUCUGCACCACAGGGCUCUAACAAGGGCCUGCUAUAGGCCAUGAGAACCACUAUAUCCAGAAGACCAGCCCAUCUAUAAAAUUG